rnacentral:rRNA from 1 species
AUGAUGGGAACAGAGUGCAUAACUGCCUCGCUCGGCGACGAUCCUGAACCCUCAGUCCCACCUGGGUUUGGACCGCCACCUGGAUUUGGGCCGUUUGCUGCGUAUGCAUUGCAAGGAACCCAGAAGGACGCCAAACCUGCUGAUGCUCAUCCUAGUCCUGCUCAAGUGUUUCAGAAUGAGAAGAAACAUGCUGAAUCCCUGGAAGGCCAGCCCCAUUCAGCUCAGAGCCGGAACGACACACACUGCAGUACUUCCGGGAGCCAUACGUGUAGGCAGUCGCUGCGGAACAGGCCUCCGGUAGACUACAGCCGCUUUGACAGUAUGUCAGACGAAGAUUCCGAUGUCGAAGUAGUAGAAAAGGCGGCUACAAGUUUAGUGAGACGCAGACAGCAGUUACCCAAAGGAGUUUUUCGAGGAUGUGCGGCAUGCAGUGACUGUCAAAAGGUUGUUGCAAGUUGGAAUCCAGAUGGUGCACGGAGACCUGUUCUUGAUGAGGCUCCUGUCUUUCAUCCUACUGAGGAGGAAUUCAAAGACACCCUUAAAUAUAUUGAGAGCAUACGGCCAACAGCAGAACCAUAUGGGAUUUGCCGUAUUGUUCCACCACCUUCGUGGAAGCCGCCGUGCCUUCUUAAAGAGAAGAGUACGUGGGAAAACUCAACAUUCUCUACACGGGUACAAAAGGUUGACAAGCUUCAAAACCGUACAUCAUCCAAAAAGAGCACAAGAGGUGGAAUGAUGAAGAAGCGGAGAAAGCUUUCAGAGCCAGAAGAAAACAGUAAGAGAUUUGGAUUUGAACCUGGACCAGAGCUCACAUUGCAAAAAUUUCAGAAGUAUGCAGAUUACUUCAGCGAGCAGUAUUUCAAGAAAGAUGCAUCUAUGAAUUCACCACCAUCAGUGGAAGAUAUUGAAGGCGAGUAUUGGCGUAUAGUUGAAAGUCCCACAGAAGAGAUAGAGGUGAUCUAUGGCGCUGAUUUGGAGACAGGGUCUUUUGGCAGCGGCUUUCCAAAGUUACCUCCUGAGACAAAAUCAGAUGUUGAGGAUAAGUAUGCACAAUCUGGUUGGAAUCUAAACAACUUGCCUCGACUACAAGGCUCAGUUCUUUCUUUUGAGGGUGGUGACAUUUCUGGUGUUCUGGUGCCUUGGGUGUAUGUUGGCAUGUGUUUCUCAUCAUUCUGCUGGCAUGUCGAAGAUCAUCAUUUAUACUCGCUAAACUACUUGCAUUGGGGUGCCCCAAAGAUGUGGUAUGGAGUUCCAGGAAAGGAUGCUGUGAAUCUGGAGUCUGCAAUGAGGAAGCAUCUACCUGACUUGUUUGAGGAGCAACCUGAUUUGCUUCACAACCUGGUUACUCAAUUUUCACCAUCACUGCUAAAAUCUGAAGGAGUUCAAGCAUAUCGUUGUGUUCAGCGUGAGGGCGAAUUUGUCCUGACAUUCCCGCGAGCGUACCAUGCUGGGUUCAAUUGUGGCUUCAAUUGUGCAGAAGCUGUUAAUGUGGCACCUAUUGAUUGGUUGCCAGUUGGACAGAAUGCUGUAGAGCUUUAUCGUGAACAAUCUCGGAAAAUAACUGUUUCCCAUGAUAAGCUGUUAUUGGGGGCUGCAAGAGAAGCAAUCAGAGCUCAGUGGGAUAUCCUAUUCCUCAAGAGGAAUACUGCUGAUAAUUUGAGAUGGAAAAGUGCAUGUGGACCUGAUAGCACUAUAUGCAAAUCACUUAAGGCACGAAUCGAGACGGAGUUGGCACAAAGGCAAAAUCUAUGUUCCCCAUCUCAAUCUAGGAAAAUGGAUGCCGAGUUUGAUUCCACUGAUAGGGAGUGUGCUUUUUGCUACUAUGAUUUGCAUCUUUCUGCUGCUGGCUGUCCAUGCUGCCCAGAGAAAUAUGCUUGCCUGUUACACGCAAAGCAACUUUGCUCAUGUGACUGGGACAAAAGAUUCUUCCUAUUCCGCUAUGAUGUCAAUGAGCUUAAUAUCUUGGCUGAUGCUUUGGGGGGCAAGUUGAGUGCUGUUCAUAGAUGGGGUGUCUCUGAUCUUGGCUUAAGUUUGAGUUCAUGUGUCAAAAGAGAAAAGGCCCAGGAUUCCAAGAUUGUUCGCAGAUUAACUGAUGGCCCAAGAAGGUCCUACAUGUCACAGGCGUCAACUGUAUCCUUGGUACCUUCCCUUGUCUGCAACGAACAGAAAGAUAAAGGAAAUAAGAUGCCGGGCUUAGCUAGUCCAGAGGCUAACAAUGCCUGCCCUUCUGUAGAGCAGAUGAAAUUGGGAAAUGUUUCACCAUCAAAGCAGCCGUCUGUGAAGGAUGAGGAAUCCUGCCCAACAAACAAUGACACCAACAGAUUGCAAUAUAAUGGAGGAGGGCUUGGAGACCAGAAAAGCUCUGCACCCGUCUUACCAGUUUCUUCCAGCCAAUCAUUUUCUUCGAAUGUUGUGACAAGACCCUUCAAUACUUCAAGUGAAUCCACGAAAAGUGUGCAUGGCUUGGCAGUACUGAAGGCGAGUAGAGAAUCUUCUUUGCAAGCUGGAGAAUAUAGAUCAUCACUUGUUGAUCAUCAUAACAGGUCACCUACUAUGAUUCAUGACGGAGCCAACAUAAAGGCCAGUUUAGAUAGCUCAAACACCUCUCACAGAUUGAUUGCAUCAAACUCCAAUGCAACUCUCUGUCACUCGGACAAGGAUCAUGCACUUAUAAUACCAGAGACUAAUGCCACAAUAAUGCUUGAGAAAGGCAACAGCCAGGUCCGUAGUGUGUUGAGUCAGCAGUUUGACCAAAUUGUUUCACGGACACAAAGUGUGUCACAGGAAGCAUCAAGCAGUGUCUUUGUUCCCAUAGACCCUUCUAGUGUUAAAAAUUCACACGGAAGUUUUCCUUCUGCCAGUGCCCAUCAUGGAAAUUUAACUUUCAAUCAGCAACCAAACAAUGGAUGGUUCCAAAGAAAACCUGAAUCUCAAUCUGCUGUAGAGGUUAGAGCCAGGGGGCAUCCAUCUGUCGCAGCACAACAUGCCCAUCCAUCUAUCGCACCACAACAUGCCCAUCCAUCUGUCUCACCACAACAUGCCCAUCCAUCUGUUGCACCACAACAUGCCCAUCCAUCUGCCGUAGCACAACAUGCCCAUCCACCGGCCAUAGCACACCCUGCUCUGGAAAUGCACAACAGGAAUGGAGGUCCACAGAGGGGUCCUCGCAUAGCAAAUGUCGUGCAUCGAUUCAAAUGCUCUGUUGAACCUCUGGAAAUUGGUACUGUGUUAUCAGGGAGAAUGUGGUCUUCAGGCCAAGCAAUCUUCCCCAAAGGAUUUAGGAGCAGAGUAAAAUACUGGAGCAUCGUGGAUCCAAUUCAAAUGGCAUACUACUUUUCCGAAAUAUUAGACGCUGGGUUGCAAGGACCUCUAUUUAUGGUUACUGUAGAGAACUGCCCAGGUGAAGUUUUCAUUAAUGAGUCGCCUACCAAGUGCUGGAACAUGGUCAGAGAGAGGCUGAACAUGGAAAUACGGAGGCAACUCAGUAUGGGAAGGCCUAACGUUCCUACUCUGCAGCCUCCAGGAUCUAUCGAUGGUCUUGAAAUGUUUGGGCUCUUAUCACCAGAAAUAGUUCGGGCAAUUGAGGCCCGGGAUAGAGAUCACAUCUGUACAGAGUACUGGAGAUACAGGCCUCAUGCUGCCACUGGUAAUCAACAUACCCUACCUCAGAAUCCACCAAGUAUUGUCCUGAGGGGGCUCUUCCAGAGAGCUAGCCCGGAUGAACUGCGAGCCCUACGAAGUUUACUGGCAAGCAAUACCAAUCUGGAUGAUAGGUCCAGGCAGCAGGCCACCCAUAUGCUUGAUGAGGAGAUUGCGAAGCAAUGGCGCUGA